AUGAAGAUUUUGUUGGAUCACCAUACAGAUUGUAACAAGAUACUAGGAUGUUUCUUGUCACCUCUCAAGAUCGCUAUCGAGAGUCACUCAGUGAAAUGUGUGAAACUACUGGUAAAGGCUGGUGCGGGUGUGAAGGGCAUCCGUAAUGUGACCCCCUUGCUUGCUGCUGCAAGACAUGACCUAACUGACGCCCUUAAGUGCCUACUGGAUGCUGGGGCAGAUCCCAAUGUUAAAGAUGAAUUUGGUCACUUGCCAAUACAUUUGGCGGCAUAUUUUGGUACACGCAAAGCCGUCGAGAUCCUAUAUGAAGUUACUUCUUCUCGUAUUCCAGCUAUAGAUGAUUUGAGCGUUGAUGGAAUAAUUAGUCAUGUUAAGGCAGAGCCAAAGUUCGAGGAUCUCCCUUUAUCUAAAAUGUCAGUAGCUGAGUUGAAAGAAGAAGGAGACAAAGCUUUGCAUAAAGAUGAUUACAAUGCGGCAUUAGAAUUCUACAAUGCGGCCAUGAUGCUUGACCUUGAAAAUCUUGAUGCAAUCCUGAUUGGCAAUAGGGGGUAUUGCCGGCUUCUACUGGGUAGAGACGGUGCUUUAAAUGAUGCCCAUAUGUGCAGGAAAAUGCGGCCUGACUGCGCAGACUCAUGCUGGCUGGAAGGCUACUCAUAUUUGCAAGUAAAGGAGUACGAAAAAGCAUGUGAUUCAUUUCUUGAUGGUCUCAAAUUGAAGCCAGGAUUUGUUGGAAUCGGGAGGCAUUAA
rnacentral:rRNA from 1 species